CAGUCGUUCUCAUAGUCGACAAACUCUACGUAAAAUUUAACUUCCAAUCACCAUAAUGCUUUGGGAAACGAACCAAUCGAGGCAAAGAUUCGACGAAGGAGAAUCGACCCAUCCAGUGUUUACAAUUACAUCGAUUAAUUAGAAGAUGGAUACUACCGCAAGUUUCGCUACUAGUUGACUGUCGCAGUUCAAAACAUCACGAAAUCAGAGGUAAAAUGCAGCUAUUCCUCGAAAUAAAGCUAAGUCUAGACGUACGAGGAGUAGAGGAACGGCAGACACAAACACAUGCACGAGAUGAAUAUGAUGAAUCCAUGGAACCUCAUUUUCAUUAUCAACACGCAACGCUCUAAGCAUUAGAGCUGGCGAGAACGCACACCACAUCGAAUGAGAUUUUAUUGGCUAUCUCUGCAACAAGCCAGAGAUAGAAUCAUGUUGGAUCAAUGACAAGACAACCUUCGCUGAAGCUACCCUUUGCUGGUUAAUAUUUUCUAUAUAAAUGGCUGCAUAGGCCAUCUUCCAUCGAAUAUUUGUUAUUCUAGAAAAAUUCAAGUGUAAUACAAUAUAAAUGUAAUUGACUAUUAAGACGCUUAGAGUCAUCUAAGAUUCAUCUUAAGAUAUCAUCUAUAGUUAUCUAAGAUAAUUAUCUCUAUAGAUUAAUAUCUCUAUAGAUUAAUAUUGGAACGAAGAAAAAAUAUAGAUAUUUGGAAAAAUCUGGUAUUACUGGCUUUUUCAUAUCUGCAUGGACUUUGUACUUAAGAAAUUUUGACGCUGUACUCCUUACGAAAGCAUAAGAUUUCAUUAGCAUACGAACCUAUUUGAAGUUGUAAAUAAAAUUGAUUUUAAAACAUAAUUUUAAAUCGGAAUGUUUUAAAUCGAUAUAUUUAAAUUGAUCGACCGUAGAUCAGUCUUUAAAUUUAUGCUUUGUAUAAGAUAUUAAUAUAUAUUCAAUUUAAAUAAGUUUGUAUUUAAGUAAUUAUAUUUACGAAAGUGUUUAGUAGCAGAACGUUCGUAUAUAGGUACAUGUAUAUGAAAGAAAUUUACCUGUUCUGUAAGAAUUACAGUGCUAGAAGCGACUAGUAGCCCUUCAUCUACUAUUGCUUUAGCCGGAAGAAUGAUGAAAAUGAGUAGGUAUAAUACAAGCCCCGCUAUCCAUUCAUAGUCCCAUCUUUUUAAGGCGGAUGCUACGUUAAAUAAUAUCAUAAAUUAUAAGUAUAAUUUUAAAGGAAUGUUUUAUGAUAUUUUUUCAAUAAUAAAAAACCAUUUUAUUGUUACAUAAUGGCAGAAAAUGAAGACGUUUGUGAGUCCAAAUAUAGAACGGAAUGUAAAUUCCAAGUGUCGUUAUGUUAAAAAAAUCAGUAAGUAAUGGAUUUCUUUUUACAAAUUGUUUCUCUGGUAAGAUACUUUCCUUUGAUAAUUGUCUGCAAACAAGAUAAAAAAGAUAAAAAUAAUAUUUCAUAUUAAAUAUAUUUGCAUUAUAUGAAAAAAUGAUCGAAUUUGGUGAGAAUUUUAUAAAUUAAUCAAUUUGACAAUUUAUAAUUAUAUUGAUGUACAGUAAAUUCAUUAUUUCAAAGAGAUUCGAAUAAAAUAUUCGUUAAUUUAAUUAUAAAUAAAAAUGUUUUUCUUUGAAGUACUAGACCUCGAUAAAUUAUGAUUGAAAAUGUUUUUUAUUAAAAUGACUUGUUUAACUAAGAGUAAAAGAAAUAGGCAAAAUUGUUAAUAAAACAAUUAUUAGAAUGUACAUGGACAUCUAUUAAAUUUGAUAUGAAGAAUUCUUUUAUUUUCAUUUUUAUAUUUCGUGAAAUCAAGAAUGAAUUUUUGAAAUUUCUGAAUAAUAAACAAAUUCAUUUUAUGUAUUCAUAUUUGCACACAUUACGUAUAGAUAAAUAAUUAUAUUUAUAGAUUUAUUGUUAAUAAAAUGGAUUAAUUAAUUUAUUAAAUAAAAUAAAUGCAAAAAAUCUAAUGAUCGAAGUAUAAUAAAAUAAUCGAUAAAUGAUCAUACAUUGCAAGAAUCAUGAAUUAACAUAAUUUUAUAUUUACAUGAUACUAUGGUGAUAGUAUAUAAGAAAGAAAACUAUUACGUAGUAGUAUGUUAUAAUAACACGUACACUUAAUAACAUGAUAGUACGUAUGAAUGCUGUAUAUAUAUGACACAAAUAAAAUCAAUGACAUAUAAUGCCUUUAUAUAUACAAACAAGAAAGGUGAGCCUUUCGCAAUCAAUAUUAAUAUAAAAACUUUAUUUUGUUUUAAUUUCUCAACAAUUACUAUUAAUUUUGUUUAAUCCAGGUGAAAUUUUAUUUAGUUGCUCUUUAUGUUUUGACAAAAAAUGUAAGCUACUUAACUUAUUGAAAUAUUAACUAUAGAACAAUCUACAAGGCUUUAAACAAGUGAAAAAAAGAGUGAAAGUCGCUAUACGAUCUACGUGACGUACUAUGCGAGGGAAAAUAAAAGGAAAAAUAAAUAAAAUUUAUAAAAAUUGGACUCGAAUGGAUACAUAAACAUUCGCAAUCGGUGAUUUUAUAAUGAGAAUGCUAGCUGAAAUCCAUGUACAAUUUUCAAUCGUCUAUAACUAAAAGUUAUAAUAAUAUAUAAUAAUGGGUGACAUAAUAGAAGCAUUUAAAUAAUACUACUUAUAAGUUACUGAACAUAAUACCAGUAUUAAGUUUCUGCUUUAAAUGUGUUACUUUUUUUUUUACAUUUCUGGAGAAAAAUUAAACGAAUUUGAUAAAAUUUAAAAGAAUUUGAAUAUACUAAAAACUUUCAAAUACAAAAGCCAAAAUUAUGAAAUAUCUUAUAAUUACAAUAUGAAACGAAUCUUUUAUUACAGUAUUUGUCAUCAAAAUUAUCCGAUAUCUGUAGUAUCUGUCGAAUUUACUCCAUAUUUCCGAUAUCAUAUCAUAAAUGCAAUUAUUAAAUUUCCCAAUAAUGUUAUUCAAAAUUUUCUACAAGAAACACAAUGUAAAUAACUUUAAUAAAUAUCUACAUACUUUCUCUGCGUUAAA